rnacentral:lncRNA from 1 species
AAUGAUGUCCUUCACUGGUGACUUCCAAGUGUUUUCUAGGAAUUUGCAAAAAGAAAACUGAUUUGUUUUUCAAAAUUAAUCUAAAGAACAACAUUCCAAUACCUAAACAGAUUUUUCAAAGCUUAGUGUUUUUUUUCUGAAAAAAAUUAUUUUGCCCUUUCGAAUCUUGGAAUCACAAAGACAAUCCCCUAAGGACUCUCGGAAUCCUCAACCGGCAACACUCCUUUCGUGGUGUUCUUCAGAACUCUUCAAAACUGAGUUUUUCUGAUAUGCU